ACUUUCACACUUAGAAAAAAAAUUGCGCCCGAUCCCAAAACUGAAACAGAAAACCUUAACGUUAGUCUCGCGCGACUCCUUCAUUCUGAGCUUUCAUUCCCUCCAGCACUCUGAACUUUUUUCACUUUCGAACCCUAAUGACUGUCACUCCUUCCAAACCCUAUCUGUCUCCCUCCCUCUCUCCCCCUCCCUCAAACCCAACCCCCCGACUCUCACUUUCUCUCUCUAUAAACUAUGGAGAAUAUGAUGAACAAGCUACGGACCAAACCCCAAAAUCUACGAAGAUUUCUACAGCGGUACCCUCCCCGGUGACGUCAUCACUCUCGCCUCCUCCAUGGUUAUGCUUCUGCUCUUCUCCGAGGUCGUACCACAACAUCCUUUAUUCCUCUUUUCGCUUUCUUUUCUUUUCCUCUCUCUCUCUCUCUCUAAUCAAAAAGGGGUUCUGAAACUCGCCGAGCCUCCCUCACUGCCUCCGACUCUCCGAUCCCUCUUCGACUUGGUUUAUGAGGCUUUCUUAGAGGCCGUCAGAGCUGCUUGGAGGGCUGUGGAUAAUGGGUUCUCAGCAGUUGAUGCAGUUGUUAAUUGAGAGCUGUUCGGCUUGUUAGGUACUCAGAUGUGAUGGUACAGUUGGGCCCGGUGGGAGUCUAGAUGAGAAUGGAGAGACGACAAUUGAUGCUCUGGUCAUGGAUGGGGUAAGCAGUAUUCGCAUAUCCAUAAGCGACGAUGAAGGUUGGAGCUAUUGCUGCUAUGAGGUACGUCAAAGAUGGAAUCAAAGCUGCUAGGUUAGUUAUGCAACAUACCGAACACACUCUGUAAGUUAUACCUGGGCAUUUUACUGGUUCAUAUUAUACUAUUGUCUUAUUCGUAGAAGUUACAACACUUGCUUGUCCUUUUGUCUUUUCAAUUGUUGUUAUCAUAAGUAUCACUUUGUGAAAUUUGGUUCUGCUUCUGUAAAAUGCUAUACAAAUAUCACAAGGCUUUUAGACAAGAUACAAUUGGUUGGCUUCCUAUAGAUAUAACUGGAUUGGUGUCAUAAAACCUAAUCAAUAAUGAUGAAUUGUCAAAGUUAUCACCACACUCGCAGUUUGAUUCACUUUGAUUCACUUUGGUUGGCUUCGAGGGCUGGUAUAAUCUAGGUGGUUUGCAGGUAGGAGGUGGGAUCAAUUCAGAUAAUUCUUUGGAAUACAUAGAAGAAGGGGAUAGCCACGUCAUUGUCACUUAUUAUGUAUUUAAUAAUGGGCAAAUGGACCUUGAAAGGCUUAAAGAUCUUGUUCGUGUUGUUGGAAAAGAAAGGCUUGUUUUAGACCUUAGCUGUAGAAAGAGGGAAGGUAAAUAUGCAAUUAUCACAGAUAGAUGGCAUGCUUGGUAUCUAAUUGCAUGCUUGGAACUCUAAUUGGUAUCUAAAUGCAAUCAUAUUUUGAAAAACCAUGGUUUAUAGGGAGCUGUUGUCUGCAACGUCGAGCACCACGUCGACGACCGUGGAACUCUUGCUAAGGCUUUCAGUGAUUAUGCUAUUGUCAUCAGCCACAACCCUGAUAACGAUCCUUCCUAGUGACCCAGUCGCUUCUCUUUUCGUAUUGCUUUCAAUUUUGUUCAUAUCGAGUUGUGAAAUUGUAGAAGAGAUUGGAUCUGUGAACCUCAUAAAGGAUUGCAAGUCUGUUUUAUUUAUUGACAGAGAGACACGUAGUAAUUGGGUCUUGUGCAGUAAAGAGAUACAAACUACCUCAGUUCUCCAAUUAUCCGCCCUACUUCACGUAACCUCCUCCACUCUUGUAUCCGCCCUUCAUUGAAGAUUUCAAUUCGGUUUUGUAAUGUCAGAAACAGCUCUGGGACUUUUUCUAGAUGUAGGUGCCUCUUGUUAUUUCUCGAAGCUUUUUGGAUUCUUUGGCUUGCCAUCUGGUUGUUGAGUAAAGGUUCGGCUCCAGUGAAAAAGAUUGAUAUGGUCCAACUAGCAAAGAUUGUAAAAUGCUCAGAGUCAAUGUGGAAGUUAAUUAACAUAUCAUACAACUGCUGAAGCGUGCACGCAUUCUCAGUAUAAGCUCCCACGAGCCAUGGUUCACAAUUACAGCAGAGUACUUCAAAGGCUGGCCAAAUCAAGAGUUGGCAUGGGGUGAGUAACUCAUACCGUGGUUGUCCUACAUUUCCACUACUGGUCAGAUGAACUUUUAUUCACUGCUGAAGAUUUGAAUUGAUUUGUUUUAAUGUCUAAAAAGAAUUGGAGAAAAGAAUUUCUGUUUAUGUUCUCUACAGACUUCAACAUUACUGCAUUUCUUCUUCUUUAUCAACCAUGAUACAUAUGGAGCUCCCACACAUAAAUGUCUUCUCUAAGAUUGAUUUGAUACAGAACUAUGGAAAGCUAGGUAAUGGCUGCAACCUGCAGUUUUCUUCCCUUUUUUUUUUUUUUUUUUCCUUUGCUUACACAUGACUUGCAAUGUAACUGUGUGGAAAGGUGAUGUGGUAUUAUGGGGUUUUGCUGCAUUUGGAAACGAGUUUUGCCUGCAAUUUCAUGUCUUUGCUUUUGACACAGGUACUUGCAUGAACUUCUUACUCAAAGAGAUGAAUUUGACGCCAUUGCUUUGUUGAUCCGGCAUCUACAUAUAAUUGUGAAAGACUAGACUACCAACAUGAUUUUGAGUAAGACUAGUAUUUGCUUUGAAGCAAAGUUUGGUGUUGAACUUACUUUUGUAGUUGGUUGCUAAUAUGUUUCUAGGCUAGUCUUUGUAGGUUUUGGAUUUUAUUUUGUGAAUUUGGAAAGAAAAUUAAUGGAAAGCCCCAAUUUUUGGGUGAUGAGAAAUGUAUUUCAAUUCCUUUUCCAGCAGCUAGA